GACGAACGCUGGCGGCGUGCUUAACACAUGCAAGUCGAACGAAGUGGCGAACGGGUGAGUAACGCGUAAUCAACCUGCCAUUCAGAGGGGGAAAACAGUUGGAAACGACUGCUAAUACCGCAUACGGAAGGAGGGGCUUGCGUCUGAGUAGCUAGUUGGCGGGGUAACGGCCCACCAAGGAGAUGAGCAGUAGCCGGUCCGAGAGUGUGAACGGCCACAUUGGGACUGAGAACCGGCCCAGACGCCUACGGGAGGCAGCAGUGGGGAAUCUUCCGCAAUGGACGAAAGUCUGACGGAGCAACGCCGCGGGAUUGAUGACGGCCUUCGGGUUGUAAAGCUCUGUUAAUCGGGACGCGGUACCGGAAUAGAAAGCCACGGCUAACUACGUGCCAGCAGCCGCGGUAAUAC
rnacentral:rRNA from 1 species